UAUAAUGCACCCCGUUUUGGUGCCCGCGUGCGCAAUCUGCGCGCGCAGUUAAACGGGAAACACGAAGCCACGACGCCCCCGGCGUCCAGCCAACGUGUGCUGCCCCCGCAACGGUAAAACAAGCGUCGCCUCCGGCGACCGGCCGCCUCGAACACCACCGUGCCCCGCAUGGGAAGGUGAGUGCGGCCUCCGCUUGUCAGCCCGGAUACCGGCCAGGACAGGUGGACGAAC
rnacentral:ncRNA from 2 species